UACAGAGGGUGCAAGCGUUAAUCGGAGUUACUGGGCGUAAAGGGCGCGUAGGUGGUUGUGUAAGUUGGAUGUGAAAUCCCUGGGCUUAACCUAGGAACUGCAUACAAAACUGCAUAGCUAGAGUACUGUAGAGGGUAGUGGAAUUUACGGUGUAGCAGUGAAAUGCGUAGAUAUCGUAAGGAAGACCAGUGGCGAAGGCGAGUCUCUGGACAGUUACUGACGCUGAGGCACGAAGGCCAGGGGAGCAAACGGG
rnacentral:rRNA from 1 species